AAAACAUGGUGCUGUUCACUAUGAUUAAUUAACCCAGCACCAGAGCCCCGAGGCGCGGUGCUAAAAAUACCUGCUUCCCUCUGAGAUGCGGCAGCUGCCACGCAGCAACUUUUACCCACGCCAUUUGUCAUAAUUUGACACUGCUAAGGAGCGUCCACAGGGCCGUGUGUCUGCAAGAAUUGGACAGCCAUCCAUCAGAGGCCCUGCCAGCCCAGGGCGGCACUUUAAUUAAAAUAUGUAAAACAUCCUGAUGGGAG
rnacentral:lncRNA from 1 species